CGAGUUUGAUCAUGGCUCAGAACGAACGCUGGCGGCAGGCUUAACACAUGCAAGUCGAACGGGUGCAGCAAUGCAUCAGUGGCAGACGGGUGAGUAACACGUGGGAACCUUCCUAGGGGUACGGAACAACUCAGGGAAACUUGAGCUAAUACCGUAUACGUCCGUGAGGAGAAAGAUUUAUCGCCCUUAGACGGGCCCGCGUCGGAUUAGCUAGUUGGUGGGGUAACGGCCUACCAAGGCGACGAUCCGUAGCUGAUCUUAGAGGAUGAUCAGCCACACUGGGACUGAGACACGGCCCAGACUCCUACGGGAGGCAGCAGUGGGGAAUCUUGGACAAUGGGCGCAAGCCUGAUCCAGCCAUGCCGCGUGAGUGAAGAAGGUCUUCGGAUUGUAAAGCUCUUUUGCCAGGGACGAUAAUGACGGUACCUGGAGAAUAAGCCCCGGCAAACUUCGUG
rnacentral:rRNA from 1 species